GGAAGGAUGACCUUGUGGUUAAUGCACCUGGCUAGGACUCAGGAAAUGUGGGUUCAAUUCUCUUCUCUGCCA
rnacentral:tRNA from 1 species